rnacentral:lncRNA from 1 species
UGGCAAACUUGCCCCCACGCUGGAUGCCGAAGCCUUCCAACAAAGCAGGGAGCUAGCAGUCAGGUGGGACACCUUGGGAAGCCUUGCGAUCCUUCUGACACUGCAAUCAGGCUUGCCACCACGAGACCGACUCUCCUAGGGCCCUGGUGAAAACCCAUUCCUCUUCCCACCCAAAGAGGCCUCUUUCUGGAUCAUCGCCCGCACAUCAAGUGGCUGCCCCUUCUGUGAGCCUAACAGUGCAGAACCAGCACCCCAGGGACUCGUGACUGCCCUCUGUAAGUUGGGGAUGAGACACCACCCUUCCCUCUCCUUGACCCCUAACUUCUCACUAC